rnacentral:rRNA from 1 species
UCGAGGAUAGUCUACAAUGGUCGAAAGAUUGAUAGUGCGACGCCGCGUGAACGAUGAAGCAUUUCGGUGUGUAAAGUUCUUUUCUAUGCGAGCAGAGUUUGGAUGGUUAACAGCCAUUUGAUAGGAUAUUAGUAUAGGAAUAAGCCACGGCUAACUCCGUGCCAGCAGCCGCGGUAAUACGGGGGUGGCGAGCGUUGUCCGGAAUUACUAGGCGUAAAGGGCAGGUAGGCGGAUAGAUAAGUUAAUCGUUAAAGACCGGCGCUCACCGUCGGGGCUGCGGUUGAUACUGUUUAUCUGGAAUCGAGUGGGGGAAGACGGAAUUCCUGGUGUAGCGGUGGAAUGCGCAGAUAUCAGGAGGAACACCGAAGGCGAAGGCAGUCUUCUACGCUUGUAUUGACGCUAAACUGCGAAGGUGCGGGUAUCAAACA